rnacentral:rRNA from 1 species
ACGAACGCUGGCGGCAUGCCUAACACAUGCAAGUCGAACGAGACCUUCGGGUCUAGUGGCGCACGGGUGCGUCACGCGUGGGAACCUGCCCUUAGGUUCGGAAUAACUCCCCGAAAGGGGUGCUAAUACCGGAUAAUGUCUUCGGACCAAAGAUUUAUCGCCUUUGGAUGGGCCCGCGUUGGAUUAGCUAGUUGGUAGGGUAAAAGCCCACCAAGGCGACGAUCCAUAGCUGGUCUGAGAGGAUGAUCAGCCACACUGGGACUGAGACACGGCCCAGACUCCUACGGGAGGCAGCAGUGGGGAAUAUUGGACAAUGGGCGAAAGCCUGAUCCAGCAAUGCCGCGUGAGUGAUGAAGGCCUUAGGGUUGUAAAGCUCUUUUACCCGGGAUGAUAAUGACAGUACCGGGAGAAUAAGCUCCGGCUAACUCCGUG